rnacentral:rRNA from 1 species
AAUUCUUUUAUGGAGAGUUUGAUCCUGGCUCAGGACGAACGCUGGCGGCGUGCCUAAUACAUGCAAGUCGAGCGGACCUUUAGAAGCUUG